UACGUAGGGGGCUAGCGUUGUCCGGAUUUAUUGGGCGUAAAGAGCGUGUAGGCGGCCAGGUAGGUCUGCUGUGAAAACUCGAGGCUCAACCUCGAGACGUCGGCGGAAACCAUCUGGCUAGAGUCCGGAAGAGGAGAGUGGAAUUCCUGGUGUAGCAGUGAAAUGCGUAGAUAUCAGGAGGAAUACCGAUGGCGAAGGCAGGUCUCUGGGCUGACACUGACGCUCAUGCACGAAAGCGUGGGGAGCAAACAGG
rnacentral:rRNA from 1 species